CUUGUCUCUCUCUGGUGGGAGCAUACAUCCUCUUGCAAUUAAAAAAAAAAAAAAAGUUAAGAAAUACCUCACUGCUAGAGGUACGAAAUACCUCACUGCUGGAGGUACGGAGCCAGGAUUUGAACACAGACUCCCAUGGCUUAAAGGCCACCCAUGCCAUCUCUGGCCAAGUUCCUUCUCUAAACCUCUCUGCACAGCAGUGAGACUCUCUUUAUUCUCCACUGGCAGAUUUUUCUUCCUCCCCAGCGAGAGUCCGCCCUGGGAGGCAGGACAGGCCUUCUGCACCCCAAGCCCAGCCCAGCACAGAGCAGCCACUGUCUGACUGCACCUUGGAGCAUGCUGGGUAUGACGUGUGCUCUGAGAGUCAGAGAGAGGGACCCAAGGAGCCCACAGUUCUGAACUUUUCUGCCUGAAAUAACAGCCACACCCCCCUGGGUGCGCUCGACUGCAGGAGCUGGCACUGUCAUUACCUGGCUCUCCUCUCCCUCAGCCCCGCCCUCUCCACCCCAGAGGUCCAGUGAGGCACAAAAGCCUCCGGGUGCGAUCUGGAAGGGCAAGGUCUCCCUAGGCCCUCCCGCGCCCACAAGUCCCAGCCACAGAACCAUCGGAGCCAGAGGACCGCUGGUCUAGACUACACACAGAUGAUGAAACCUCACCUCGCCCAGUCGCCAACGGAAAUGGAAGAUCCCAAUCCGCUAACCGGGAAGCGCCUGGGCCCUCCCUCUCUCGCCCCGACAAGGAGACCUUCCCGAACCUCCGUCCCGAUUCACCGAGGCCCACAGCUCCGCCUUCUCUGGGAACCGCCGUGCUGACCGUUCUCUUCCGUGGACGCCCACGACCUGGCCCCCGUCGCGCAUCGACCUGUUCACGUUAAGAUACUUUGCGCGAUCUGGAAGGCGUCUCGCCUCCCUCCUCGGUUCCGAAAUGUACUCUAGAAGGGGGCGCCCCAGAGGAGGCCUUUCUUGGCAUAUUUCCACCAGCAAAAAACCCCAAAAUUUCCUGUUCAAGUCCCAAAUAAAGCUCAAUUGGGUGUCUCACCACGCCCCACAAUAAUUCUACUCCCCAAAA